rnacentral:rRNA from 1 species
CACGAAGUUAGCCGGUGCUUAUUCUUACGGUACCGUCAUGACUCCAGGGUAUUAACCCAGAGCUUUUCUUCCCGUACAAAAGUGCUUUACAACCCGAAGGCCUUCUUCACACACGCGGCAUGGCUGGAUCAGGCUUGCGCCCAUUGUCCAAUAUUCCCCACUGCUGCCUCCCGUAGGAGUCUGGACCGUGUCUCAGUUCCAGUGUGGCUGAUCAUCCUCUCAGACCAGCUACGGAUCGUCGCCUUGGUGGGCCUUUACCCCGCCAACUAGCUAAUCCGACGUCGGCUCAUCUAUCUGCGCGAAGCCCGAAGGUCCUCCGCUUUCACCCGUAGGUCGUAUGCGGUAUUAGCGUAAGUUUCCCUACGUUAUCCCCCACAAAUAGGCAGAUUCCGACGUAUUCCUCACCCGUCCGCCACUCGCCACCCAGAGAGCAAGCUCUCCUGUGCUGCCGUUCGACUUGCAUGUGUUAGGCCUGCCGCCAGCGUUCACUCUGAGCCAGGAUA